rnacentral:misc_RNA from 1 species
CAUUGUUUUUUUAACCAGAGCCUUGAUCCUCGGCAACUCUUUCCUUCUUUCCGGAUGUUUACCACAAACAAAGUGUGCGAUUUGCUGGCUUCUCGUGCCUUUCGACGGGAUGGGCUCUUCCACGGGGAUGUGCCCAGCUCGUAGAUAGGAAAGGACCCCCAGCAGGAGGUGCCCGGUGUCAGUUAGCAAGUGUUGCAGGGAGGUGGCGAAUGCGUGCAGCCCAGUAGAAGCGACAGACACCUAGGCCAUAAGACACUGACCUAGGGGACUCGGUGAGGUCGCGCAGUGGCGACCGCAAGUAGUAUUGAGAGCGAGUGACCACUGCACGACCGACAUUCCCAGAGCCAAGGUCAAGCCUCGGCGGCUUGCAUGACUUUGCGGCCUCAGUGCCAACGCAACGCCACAAGCACGAGACUUACACCAUGCAGGAGCUGGAGACCUCGCCUCUCAUGGGCCAGACCCCUCACCCAUGGUGCUUGAAAGUGUCAGGAGGAGGUGGUGCGGUUCUGAACCCUGAGGCGUCCGUGUUCCACCUACCCCCCACCCCGGGCCUCAUGCCCACGUCCCAACACACACCCACCAUCAAUGGAUACCAUACCCACGUUUACCCCUUGAUGAAUGGGGAUGUUGGCAAGCAGUAUUGUGGGGUUUGCCCCCACACUCCUGAUACUCCUGGACCCAUGGCAGUAGAGUCUCCAGUGGAGCCUUGUAGCUCCUCCCCAGACACAACUAGUGGCACCAGUGGUCCCACAAGCCAAGCCCCUGGUAAAGCUGUGCAAGUUGACAACACAGUUCAAGACAUGGCAGCAGCUGGACAGAAUGCAGAUCAAGAGGGGAAUGCAAAGGCAUGCACUCCCCUGGGCAGCAGCCAGCAGAAUGGGGAAGUGUCUCCCGAGAGCAGUCGACCAAGUGCCUCCCCCCUCCCUGCCUCAGUGCCCACCCCAGACUCUAGUAGUAGCAAUGCUCCCUCUACUGAAAACCUGGAAAAGCCAGAAGAACCGAUUCCUGAAAGUAGCAGUAAAGAGGACACAACUACAAGCGAGACACAGGGCACACAGACAACACCAGCACAGACUCCCACUCCGAGUACGCCCACGGCAACCCCUCCAGCACAACCACAACAGCAGCCCACCCAGCAGCCUCAGCAACUCACCCGGGACCAGAUACAGCAGUUGGUGGCACAGCAAGUGGAAUAUUUCUUUUCUAGGGAGAACCUGAGCAACGACCCAUACCUGAUCUCUCAGAUGGACAGUGACCAGUAUGUGCCAGUUUAUAUACUGGCAAAUUGCUCACAAUUUAAGAGCAUCACUAAGGACCACAGCAUUAUUGUAGAAGCUCUCAAAGAAUCGCCUUUUGUCCAGCUAGACGAAGAAAAUAACAGAGUUCGGCCCAACUAUAAAAGAUGCAUUGUGAUUCUAAGAGAAAUUCCUGAGUCUACUCCAGUUGAAGAAAUAGAGGCGAUGUUCAAAAGUGACGAGUGCCCUAAGGUAGUUUCUUGUGAAUUUGUUCACAAUUCCUCUUGGUAUGUUACAUUUGAAUCUGAUGAAGAUGCACAAAAAGCCUAUUGGUACCUCCGAGGUGUUGUCAAGACUUUCAAGGAUAAGCCCAUCCUUGCCAGAAUAAAGACAAAGCCAGUGUCCAGACUAGGUUGUUUAUCAGUAUUACCAUCAUAUGGAAAUAAAGGAGGAGGUGAGGGGAAGGAAGGAUCUGGUCCUCCCUCAACCCCAGGUUCAGCUGGGUUACCGGGAGGACCUGGAACUCCUGCUCCAAAUACCAAUUUCAACAACCCCGGGGGACAACGGUUUAUGUAUUCAUCAACGCCUUCAACCGUUACUGCCAACUCGUACACAUAUUCUUACACAACGCCAGCUGCCUUUUUCUACCCAAACAUGGUGCAGUGGACAGCCCCAGGUGGGUUCUAUGACAUCAACGGGUUUCUGCAGUUCAAUGGACUCUCACCACAAGCUGCCUUCAAGCCCCCAAGUAACCAUAAUGUUAGAUAUAACGGUAACAGAAGGUAUCCUUCCAGGAAUUCAAAACACCGUGAUGGCAGAUAUGAUAAAGUUGACAACCGUCAUAAUAGUGGGGCUGGCCAAGGAAGCGGAGGGAAUAGCAACAAUCAUGGAAAUCAUCAAAAUCACUUCCCACAUUAUCCACCGCAGAGGCCACAUCCCCACCAUAGACCACAGUCCUCCCAGUCCCCAUCCCAGUCUACACACAGGAAUUCCCAGCCUCCCACUAGCACCACUGCCCCUCCUCCCCCUCCACCUCCCCCUCCACCACAGCCAUCAGCAGCAACAUCAGCUGGAACCAAUAACCAGAGCUUUGCUCAGUGCGAUCUCGCAAUAGCUAGUCAGUCUAACUUAUACACAUCAUUUAGUCCCCCAACGGGUCCAGCAACACCUGUGAUCCGGGCUGAAAAGAAAGAAGUGGUUACAGUCUCCAAGGCAUCUAGUAGCAGUAGCCCAUCACCUGUGUCAUUAGCACAGACGCCUGUGCAUACCACUACUGCCAGUCCUCCCUUCUCCAGUACCUCUAUGCUCAAUUCCUCAGUAUCCACAACUACUGUGGCAAGUGUGUCUGCCACUGUUGCAUCAACAACUUCAGCAGCCACAGUCAGUGUUGCUACCACCACAAGUACCUCACAUCAACCAGCCCAGCAGCACCAGGCACAUGGACCCACACAGCAGCAGCAUCAUGCUCAGCAUCAGGCUCCUGGUCCACCACACCGGAACAACUACAAUAAUGAUCAUUAUCAUGGUCAUUAUCAAUAUCACCCAGGACCUAGGGACCCUCAACAACCUAGACAAUUUUUCAAAAACUGGUUUUGCCCCAGGAAUCGUGGUGUACGCCGACGACCACGAGGUCGGGAAGAGGAGACCCAGACAAGUGGUGGUAACCGUAGCAUGCCUCAACGGGGAGGUACCACACAGCCUCCUAGCAAUGACAACCCAAAACAGGGAAAUAGCCAAGAAGCAACUCCUCCUCCUCAACCACCACAACCACAGUUUGACCUUGAGGCUGCAGCUUUUCCCCCACUUCCAGGUUCUGAUGAGCAAGUUCCAGUUGCAGAAGAGAAGAGACAGCCUGAAUCACUGCCUUCUGCAUGGGGAAGUGACACUCAGCGUUUCUCAGAUGUAAUGAAAGGAACCGCAAAACCCCGUGCCCCAUCACAGUCCUCUGUGGGAGAGAAGGAUUUGCCUUUAGAACCCUCUAUUCCCUCCAGCAGUACUUCUCCUGCCCCUUCAGUCUCUGCAGCUGCAGUACCUCCAGUAGCCUCAACUCCAACAUCCACAGCAGCUACUACCCAAGCUAGUCAAACCUCAUCUACUACUACCACUUUACCAUCAUCUCAAGAUGUUCUAAGCACAGCACCAACCACAGUUUCAUUAUCCUCUAGCUGUUCCACAGUUUCCUCGUCUACAACUUCAAAUACCACCAGUAAUGUAGUUGCCAGUAGCAGCAGCAGUAGCAGCAGCAGCAACAGUAGUAUUAAUAAAUUGGAGACACGACCUGUACCUAGGGAGCAGCGUGGAGGCCGGGAAGACAAACGGACAUUACCAAAUAGUGGGAUGAAAGAUAGGCGAGAUUAUACUCGGGACCAUCAGAGAGAUUUUUCACAGAGGGAAUCUGGUCGAUCAGGAAUGGGUAGAGAUCGUGAUCACAGACUUGGCCGUGAUAGCAACACUCGUACUGGAAAAGAAAACAGGCCAGUUCCAUCACGGCAGUGGAAGGAAGAGAAAGUGGAUGCAGAUGGCUGGAUCACAAAAGGGCCAAGGGAGUCCCGUGCUCACCGUGAGAUGAAUCGUGAACAGAGAGAAAGACAGGAGGCGAGGGAAGUAAGGGCUCAGCACCUAGUGAAUGGGGACUCUUCCCCCCCACCCUCUCCUAAGCCCCAAAAGACCGACCCCAAAGCCUGCAGUGAAGAAGUUAGUGUUGAAGAAUCCAAACAAACUGCUCAGCCUCUCAACAAUAAUGAUGGGGAGCACAAAACCAGUUGGGCAAAAAUGGCAUUAGCCUCGAAAGAUUAUAUGGAGAGAUUGGCAGCUGAACUAAAGGAAAAGGAAGAGCAGGAGAAGAUCAAAAAGAUGAGGCUAAACACCAGACCGCAAACUAAACCUCAAGAGAAGGUUUUAGUGCCCCGAGAACGUGAUGGCAAGCCCUUGAGGAGGGAUGGGCCACCUCGAGAAAACCGCCUCUCUGGUGAAAUGGGUUCUGCAAAGUUCAGGCCAAGAGACUCUGCAAGACCAAAGUCACCGAAGUGAAGGUGACAGUGAGAGAUCCACCGAGACAGAGGCCGCCCACCAGGCUGGGUAACCAUAGCCAGAGGAUCAAAAGGGAUGAGGAGAUACCUCUUCAAGCAUUGCUGCUUCCCUCACACAUACCAACAUGGAAGUCGGCAAUUUCUGCUGUUGGUGUCCUUUGGCAAGUGGUGCAAAAAGGGUAGCUAUAUACAAUGUAACUUCCCCCAGCCUGGUGACCCUGCACCCCACAUUGUUGCCCAGCAUUGUGUUGCUGCAUCAAAAGUGGCUGCAUCAUCCUUCUCCAGUGCCUAAGCUGUCUGCCAUUUAAUGUACAUAAUUAUGACAUAACCGUGCUGUUUGCUCCCGUAUGCAAUUUUGCCCGUCUGGAGAGCGUGUGACCGGUGCCAAACGUGGGGCAAUCCUGCUUACUUGUACAGUUGAGAGUUUAUUUUUGACUAUGAUAGCCUUGUACAUUAUUGAAAAUUUGGAAAAGCUACAUCUGAAACUAUGUAGCUGCUUCUUUUGAGUGUGUAUAUGUGAGUGCUUGUCUCGUGGCUGAAUCAAAAUAAAGAACAGCCCUCUCAUUGCAUAUUGCUUAGAGGACAAUAUUUAAAUUAACUUAAGACAUUGGUUCCUCAUAGAUUGAAAUUGAGGAUAUAAUUACUACAGAACAUUAUGGCCACAACUAUUUGUUUGUGGCAGUGUUGUCGUAAACAAACCUAAGGUUGCAUUAUUGGCACCUCUCAAUGUUUUGGCUGUGACCCAAGGAACAAGUCUUUCUUCUUGCUGAAGUGUACUUGAUCCAUGUAGAGGAAAAGAGGUGUUUAAUAUGUGAAUAUGUAUAUGAGGGUGUGAACUGGCCCAAAGGAGCAAGUCUACUCCUGCCACCCAUCCCCUGCUGCGACACAGGUUGUGAGUGUGCCAGUGACAAACACUUGUUUUAGACAAAUCUCUGGGGAUGUGAUUAUAACCAGCCAGGGAACCUAUUACAAAUUGGGACUUUUGUAUUGGUUUUGGCUGAUAUGCAAGUGAUAUAAAACAAAUGAAACUCCUAAAUCAGUGGUAAACUAGUGAUGUAAAGAGCAUUGUUUGACCAGCAGGUGUGUGACAAUAAAUGUGUUACUAGUUGGUUGUUUAUGAGUGUUUAACAUAGGAGAUUGGAUCCUGCAAAUGAGCUAGUACUGUGUUAAGAUCUCGAUGACUUCAAGAGAGUGAACAUGUACAGAGGUGAAUAAUGUCCAUAUUGAUAGUGACCCUAAUCUAGGGUUUGGUUUUAAGCGAUAUACAAUUGUUGACUUUGUAUACGGGAGUGAGUGAUAGAUUGCCUGGUAGGUGUAUGUUGGAAUACUGUGUCCUGAGCUUGGUUCUGUGUUGUACAAAACACAAUCUCGAUAACAUUUUCCUUUAAAGAAGUGCUCUUGUUAUAGAAGCAUUUAGACACUAUACCAGAGAUUUGGUUGUCAAUGAGUGUUGGAUAGUAAAGAAUUUAUUACAAAGUCAUGGCUUCCAUAUUUUCCAUUUGCCGUUGUAAUUGCCAAUAGUUGUGCUCGUCUGAAAUUGCUUAUUGGCCAGUGGGCAUGAAGCUUUAGCCCAAGUCACAUACUAAAGCUUUGCUGAAAAUGUGCUUGCAAAAUUUGAAUACCUAAUACCUCUCUAGUUUAGCCAGAGAUCCGAAGAGCCAGCCUCAAAAGACAUAGUUUCAUUUACUGUUAAUCUGGUGCGAAAGACAAGGUGAGUGCAACCUUUGGCCAAUAGCUUUGGACUACAGCUUUGAUCCUUCUAUGUGAGCACCAAGGCUUUAUUGCUGCAUGUUAGUGGUGUGAGGGGAAAAGUACCAAGACAGUAGGUCAUCCUGUUGUAAAGGAGAAAAUUAUUGGCCUUGACUUGUAUUGCACACCGUACUCUUAUUUACUUGGUAUUAUUUAUGUCUAGAAGUUUAUUGGUAUUCCAGUAUGCAUUUACUGAAUUAAAUCAUUGGAGGAUGGCAAUAGCUCUUCUGUUAAGGUUGUAAUCUUAUUAUCAAGACGAAGGUUGUCAUCUUCCAUUGAACCACCUAAAAUAGCACAAGACUAUUCAUCACAACGUCAUCAGAUUUUGCAGUUCGAGAUGUGUAGAAAGUCCAUGAUAGUUGGAAGUAGUAUAUUCAGGUUUUAUAAUGGCAAGACUGUAACGUCUUAGUCACCCAGUAAUCAUGGAAGUAAAAAAAGGGAGAUUCCUCCUGAGAAAAGUUGUUGCAAAUGCUGACACAUGUAGGCCUAUAACCCUUAUCUGUGUUGUCACUACUCAAUACUGCCUGUCAUUGUCACUUCAUUUAUGUUUUAAGCAUCAAAAAUCACAUAGGUAUAUAUAUAUAAUUUUUCCCCCUUAAUUUUUCUUUUCUUUUCUGGGAUAGCAAAUCAUCUAUUACAUUAUAUUUAAUAAGUUAAUAUAAUGAUAACUUAAACAGUUCCUUAGUUUCUUUUGAUAUCCAGAGUCUAGAUAAUUUUUGAAGAAGCUACAGAAGGACUUGUUUGUUAAUUUUAAUGGUAAGUGAAAUGGAGCCAGGUUUAGUGACCUUCCUAUUUUCAAUCAGAUGGCAAAGACAAAUUUGUUCACGAAAAGGAUAAUGAGACUCCCAGGUCCUCGAAUGAAAAGAAGGAAGAAUAAGAUUUAAAAAAAAAAAAAAAAAAAAAAAAAAAAAAAAAAAAAAUAAUAAUGUAGAUGAAGAAAAUCAUGUGUUAGUGUUUCUGGUGUUUGCCUUUUUUUUAUUAAUUUGUUGAAUUCGUGUGAGCUCGUUUGGAAACCUUUAUUUCACAUAUGCAAUUUUGUUUUAGUUUAGUUGUUAUUAGACAAAACAUGCCGUAACUUAUGAUACGACUAUAAUUAACUUGAAAUUGUACGCAUUAUACAUGGAGGCAAAGUGUACAUGAAUGAGCUGAAGGGAGAAAUGCACUUUUAGACUAUGCUAAUUAGACAUCCUAUUCAAUUCUAUAUAAAUAUAGGGAAAGUGAAGAAAUUUAUUUUUCAUUUUUUACAUCCCUGUAGCUCAUACAUGUAAAAAUACACGUACACGAGGCUGGGAGUUAAGCAUAUUAGUUUAUGAAAAAUUAAACCUGGAUAGAAACUACCGCCUUGGCUCCUUUUGGUGCACCAACCCAUUUCAAGUUUCAAGAGUGGAAAGUCCUUCAUCUCGGACUCAGGGUGGAAUGUCUACCACUAGUACCUGAGAUAAAUAGCCCCCAAAGUAUACAUGUUUUUGGAUAUGAAGGUGUGAUCAUUUGUCAUACCUUUCGUAACCAUCACCACGAUUUACAUAUAUUCUACUAGAGACUGUAGACUCUUUGGCUGGUGUGAGACCAUCACAGUUACUCAGGAACUCAGACCGUCAGAUGGCAGUGAAUGAGAUCUCGUCUGGAGGUCGCUGUUGGGGUGCUGUCUGUCUCACUGAUUCUAGGGUGCUGAUUAUAUGUUGCAAGGAUAAUAUUUAUGCUUGUUUUAAACUGUAUGUAUCAUGAGAUUAUUUCUAAUUUUCAAGAGGAUGUGAAAACACAUGAAAUAUUGGACAAUGUCCAUGAGCUGGGUGUAAUUUGUUGAUGUAAUGCUAUGAUAUGAUUCCACUGUAAUCUUGGUGAGGUGGUCCCGUGAAGGCUUCCCCCGUCAGCCCCUUGAGCUGGCGGGGGACGUGACUGUACUAUAACCAUCAACACGAUGUAAUAUUUGCUCUCAAAUGAUGUUAAUAAUCCUGAUAUUCUGUAUGCCUUGUUCUUCUUUUUGUUUCAAGUGGUUAUAUACAUAAUACUGAUGCCAUUAUGCAAGAUGUAUGAAAUGUGUGCGUGUGUGUGUGCGAUCUCAAACCUGUAUUUAACUUGACACUACAGAUGUAUAAAAAAUACACCAGCUCCUCGAGUGAUUCUCUGGACAGACUUUGUGAAGGAGUAAGCCAGGGUAUAUAAAGUAGUAGUCUGUAAGAACACUUCCAAUGCUGUCACUACGCCAUCACCACCUUUCUCUCACUCGCUCAACACAAAACAAAUUCUUUGUUUCUGUUAAAAAUUUAGUUUGAAAAUAAAUUUCGCAUGUGGUUUUCAGUGGAGAACUUUUUACUCAGCCUUUAUACAAAUGUUACCAUUACUUGUAUAGAGUGUUAUAUUAACGUGGCUGUAUGUGUGAGCUGUCCAUAGAUUUACUCUGCAAUUUCACGGAAGCCUAUGUAUUGUAUCAAGAAAAUAUUUGUGAGAAAAUAACAUCUCCAUACCUUAGAAAAAGGUUGGAUGCAUGAAUUUGUUGUUUCUGGUAAAAGUAACAAUCCAACAAGUAGUAGUGUGACUUGUCCUUCAUUCUGGAAAAUAAAUUGUGUUAUUCACAAGACCAUGCUUUAUGUUUAAUCAAAUUCCAAGUAUUUUAGGAAUCAAACUACUUGGAAUAAGUGUAACAUUUUUAUUUUGAUAUACAUAUCAUUCCUCCACUUUCAAGCUGUCCUCAGCUAAAGAAUUUCUCAUUCAUCAGCAGAAAAAAAAAUUGAAUAGCCACUUGACAAAGCAUUUGAUGAACACAGCGAUAUUAAUCAGUCCAACACAUUUAGCAUUGAUAACUACAGACAUACAAAUUACCACUUAAUUAAUAGUUUGGUCAUAACAUAACCAGCUGGGUUAAGACUGCUUCAUUUUCUUACUAGUAUUCUUUGGAGACCAGUGUUUUAGUACGUUUGAGAGAAUAUAAUACAGAUUUCCCCGUAAGCCCCGUCCGCAUGAGUGAAUAGCAUCCGGUUAACUCGGCAUUCACCACGCACGGCAGUGACUGGUCAGUGAAAUUGGCAGGCUUUCAUGUUGACAUGUAGAAAAGUUGAGUGAGUAUGAAUAUCUUGUAUUGUGAAGAUAUUCAUUCUCCUCUAUACCUAUUUUACAAAGCAUUGAAUUGCACACUUUCAUCCCCACCCCCUCGUUCUCGUUUCUGCCCACAUUCUUCUGUCCUCUCCUCUCUUUAUUACUUAAAUACAGUAGGUCUAGCAACAUCUAAUAAUUGGAUUCGUGAAUCACUCCACUGCUGCAAGACCAUCUUCCUGGUCUGCUGGCAAACAAGCCGCGAGUGGCAGACGCUAUACGCUCUUGUGGACGGAACUUAGUCAUUCCUAAAGAAACGCCUGACUGAUGUGACUGCUCAAGUGUUAGAAAUGAAAGAACGGGAUCUGAUGCCAGCUGUGACAAGAGUAAUUUCAUUUGAAUGUGACGAGAAGGACCAACCCUCAACAACCAUUUAAUAUCUUUGAGAUACUGGAUACUCGCAUAUUCUUGAAGAUAAUUGUAUUUUUUCCUUUAUUUUUCGAUUAUUUGUCAUAAAUAUGCAAAACAUGCAUUUUGCAAUGGUAUUGUACUUGUUGGUUGUAUGAGGAUACAGUACAUAUGUUUAAAAAAAAACAGUUCCGGA